GACGAACGCUGGCGGCGUGCUUAACACAUGCAAGUCGAACGGUGAAGCGCUUGCCUUUUUGGUGGGUGUGGAUGAGUGGCGAACGGGUGAGUAACACGUGAGUAACCUGCCCUCUUCUUCUGGAUAACCUCAUGAAAGUGGGGCUAAUACGGGGUAUUCCGGGUCUGUCGCAUGGCGGGUUUGGGAAAGAUUGCGCCUUUGGGUGUUGUCGGUGGGGGAUGGGCUCGCGGCCUAUCAGCUUGUUGGUGGGGUGAUGGCCUACCAAGGCGGUGACGGGUAGCCGGCCUGGGAGGGUGGACGGCCACACUGGGACUGAGACACGGCCCAGACUCCUGCGGGAGGCAGCAGUGGGGAAUAUUGCACAAUGGGCGCAAGCCUGAUGCAGCGACGCCGCGUGAGGGAUGGAGGCCUUCGGGUUGUGAACCUCUUUCGCCAGUGAAGCAGGCCUGCUCCUGUGUGGGUGGGUUGACGGUAGCUGGAUAAGAAGCGCCGGCUAACUACGUG
rnacentral:rRNA from 1 species